ACUUCAAAACCCCACCGACACCUCCUUCCUAUGCAAAUCUCACAAUUCGAAACUCCCGCCAUAAAACGGGCGAAUCCAAACGAAGCUGCGAGUUUACGCAAACUCGCAGGUGGUACCUUAUUUGGCUCUGGCCUGUACAUUUGUCACGCCUCAAAAUUUACAUACAGACCAGCCCACUGGUGCUCUGAGCCCAGGAACGUGAAUGGAGAGCGAAGAUGAGACAAACACUAGUUUAGCUGCCUGCUCGUUUACUUCCACAGGAAUCCUUGAAGCAGAGAGUUCUUCAAGGAUAUCGAAAAUGAGCCACGGUCGUAAAUGCAGUGUUCCAGGUUGAAAUUUAGGCUACAAAGAAAGCUGAGACUUUCCAUAGUCUUCCCAAGGAUUCAAAAGUUCGAGGGGCAUGGAUAAUGUUUUUCUACCAGAAGAAGAUCCCUGCAAAGUUCGACACUCUGUUAUUAAUUUGCAAAACAUUUCACCGAAGGCAGUUUUCAAAACCUUGUACAGUUAAGCAGGAUUUGCUAAGCUGCUGUUACUGAAACGAGGGGCUGUUCCGACCGUAAGGUCAUCACAACCGCAUGCUGUUUUAUCUAGCAGCCAUGCACUUCAAUGAGAAUGCUGAGUCCCCACAACAGAAGACAGCCAAGGAGAAACUAUGUACAAACUUGCCAAAUUUAUCAUCAAAGACCCUCUUCCUUACUGGGAUGCCGUCCAGCGGAUUCCUGUGCCCCAGGACUUGUGUGCUCAGCUAGACCGACCUUCCAUGGAGGAUGCUGUUGCUGAACAUGUAUCAUUUUGUGGACCAGGUACAUCUCCAGCUCCGCCACUCGCCGGCCCAGACAGGCCCGGAUGCCGAACCCGAACGGCACGGAGCCGAAGGGGUGCUGGUUGAGCUGCUUGUCGGCGCCACGGAGCCAGCGCUCGGGCAGGA